AACAAGGACCAGUGCUCCUAUGAGGAUUUAAUGCCUGAUGGGUUGGGCCUGAUUAGUAUUUGGAUGGGAGACCACCUAGGAAGACCAGGUGCUGUAGGUG
rnacentral:rRNA from 1 species